ensembl:lncRNA
GCUUAUGUGGCUGGGAAAACCUGAGGUUUUGAAAAAAACGCAGCCCAGCCUGCCAGCAAGGCUUCCACAGACUCGUCACGUGUACAUCAUUGGUGUUUUCCAGAGAGUCAGGCUCAGGUGGGGCUAGGGCAGUCCCAAGGCUGAGCUUUCUUCUUCAGAUGCGUGUGUGUGCGUGAAACACUCACUCAGGACAAAGAAACUGUAAUUAGACUGGCCAUAACGUAUUUCAAAUUAUAUUUGACAUUAUCAAAUGUGAAAGGAGGACUUUUCUGGUUAGGAACGGUGGAAUGGGCUCUUGGCGCCGUUCGCAGGCAGUGCGCAGCCCCCAUGCUGCAGAGGCGUCUAGAAGCAGCCCUGGAAGUCCUCGGAAGGCGCGUCGCGGGCUGUGGCGGCCGCUCCUGCCUGGCCGCUGGGUGCCCACGCUCGGAGCUGGGAGCGCUUUUCUGGCUGUCGCGGUGGUUUCCUGCCGUCUGUCCCCAGCUCUGGGCCUGGCUCCUGAUGGGGCCUCACCAGGCUCCCAGACCUGCUCUCCAGCCUGGGUCCCCUCCAGGCCCCCUGACCCAGGAGGGACACCAAGAGAGGCCGUGCCCCGUUCAUGUGUUCCUGAGAAAAACCUCCAGACCGGGUCAAAGCUUCCCUCGUGGCCUGAGUACCCAGCGACUCUUCUCUCCCCCCAACGCCUCAUUUGGAAGGAAACAUAAACUUGACGGCUCCACAGAACCGUUGUCUCAUCCGCUCUGCUCAGAGCCAACGCCCCCUCCCUGCGAAAAACAAAAACACAGAAACAAAGGAAGAGCAGCCAACAUCGCCGUCUCCCAAAGCCCUUGGACAGCUGCCGGGGGAAGAGAUGCGCUUCUAGACACAUCCAGGAGGCUGUCUUGUUUUCCUGUUAAUAUCGCACGGUGGUGACUGCAGUAACAAAAGCACUGGAAGGCUCCCGUCUCACCACCCGCCUCUGCAGCCCCGUCGUGCACGGGAUGCUCCCCACCCCCGAUGUAGCGUGGCGGGCCCGCGGCAGGGUCUGUUCUGGCCUCGAGACGUCAGACCCUUGGAGCAGAGGCCGUGGGCUGGCCCCUCCACGCAGCCCCCGCGCCCCGCACCCACCCUCGCCCACCCCGACUCAUCCUUACCCCCCCAGCUCAUCUGAUCCAAUAAGCCGCGAGGCCCAUCCAAUUAAAAAGCAUCACCCACCUGUUCCAAGCCUUCCUUCUUGCCAAGUGUUUGCGGCUGGCAGAAAACAGUGCUGUUGGUUCAACGUGGCCUCAUUUCCUCUGCUGGUCAGAGUUUGGAAGCCCCUCCUGAUGCUGAAAAGUCUUGAGAUGGAUUCUCCAAGGUGAUAUUAACAGACCCUUGAGCCUAGAGGCGGGUGGGGCCAGGGCCUGUUUCCUUGUCUGGAGCUGGAGUUGCCACUGUCUAUUUUUUUUUUUUUUUAGUAUUUAUUUAUUUUAAUUUUGGCUGCACUGGGACCUUGCUACUGCACCGGGGCUUUCUGAAGUUACAGCAAGUGGGGGCUGCUCUCAAGUUGCAGCGCACGGGCUUCUCACUGCGGUGGCUUCUCUUGCUGUGGUGCAGGGGCUCCAGGGCACACAGUCGUCGGUGUUGCGGCUCCUGGGCUCUAGAACACGGGCUCAGUAGGUACGGCACAAGGACUCCGUUGCCCCACAGCACGUGGGAUCUUCCCAGACCAGGGAUGGAACCUGUGUCCCCACCCCCUGCAUUGGCAGGAGGAUUCUUAACCACUGGGCCACCAGGGAAGUCCCUCUGACUAUGUUUGAAUUUCUGUCUGGGGUUAUUGACACUGGCCAAGCUGCUGAAGAGGGCAGGGGGAGAAAGGAUGAUUCUGCAGGGGUAAUUCCUGCCCAGGAAGUAGUGAUUAUUAACUACCAGGUGGAUGGGGAGUAGAGCGAGACAGGGUAGCCAUUUGAAUUUUCAGAGCAAACCGGAAACAUGAGCUUCUUAGCAUCACAUAAACAUGAAGCGUGAAAGACAAAUAGAAGCAGGACACAUACGUGCCCCCAGGAGGCCUGUGUAUGUGUCUCUCUGAGAGAUGAGUCUCCUGGUGGAGGCAACAAAUACAUUGAAAAAGAUAGGCACUGAUAACUCAGACAAACCUGGGUUUCAACCCUUUUUCCAGCUGUGUGACUUCAGGCAAGUUACUUAAUCUCUCCGAAGGCCAUCAUCUCUAAAAGCUGGUGAAUAAUACCUUCCUUUAGAGAUAAAACAGCAUUCUCACACAAAACUUCUGUAAGAGUACCUAGCAAGCAGUGAUUGAUGGACAAAAAUUUAAUUGUACUCUGUAGUUUUCUGCAACUUUCAACACUCUUCCUAAUGUCUAUUUGCACAAGUCUGGCGGUAUCUCAAGGUCUAUAUUUAACUUUAUUCCCUUCUGGUUCAGGGUAGCAAAGAAAGAAGUUAAAUUAUGCACAGAAAAAGAUUCACUGCCAAACCCUACUUUUCUUCUUAGAGAUACUCUUUAUGUCUCCACACUUCUCAAGGUUUCCUUUUACACCCAAAUUUCUGUGCAGGGACCCAGCGAUACAGCAACACAGCUGUCCAUGGCGGCGGGGGGUGUCUCCUCUCAGGGUUUGCUGUUGUGUCGUUUCCUUCGGUAUGGUCUUCACGAUGUUGCCACUAAGCGCGUGUGAGCAGGGUGUGAUGCACGCGUUAAGCCACAGGCUGGGGAAUUAACCCGCCUGCCUGGAACCUCUGACAUUUUAAAAUAUAUUUAUUCAUAUUCUGUUUGGCUGCAUUGGGUCUUAGG